AACGAACGCUGGCGGCGUGCCUAACACAUGCAAGUCGCGCGAGAAAAGGGGGGCAACCCCCUGAGCAAAGCGGCGCACGGGUGAGUAACACGUAGGUAACCUACCCCCGAGUCCAGGAUAACCCGCCGAAAGGUGGGCUAAUACCGGAUAUGACCACGGGAGCGUUGGCUCCUGAGGCGAAAGGUGGCCUCUGCUCGCAAGCUACUGCUCGAGGAGGGGCCUGCGCGCCAUUAGCUAGUUGGUGGGGGAAUGGCCCACCAAGGCGAUGAUGGCUAGCUGGUCUGAGAGGAUGGCCAGCCACACUGGGACUGAAACACGGCCCAGACUCCUACGGGAGGCAGCAGUGGGGGAUAUUGCGCAAUGGGCGAAAGCCUGACGCAGUGACGCCGCGUGAGUGAUGAAGGCCUUCGGGUCGUAAAGCCCUGUCGAGGGGAACGAAACGGUUUCGACCUAAUACGUCGAGGCCCUGACGGUACCCCUAAAGGAAGCACCGGCUAACUCCGUGCCAGCCGCCGCCGUAAUAC
rnacentral:rRNA from 1 species